rnacentral:lncRNA from 1 species
GGAGCGAGGAGCGAUAGAGAAACGAGAGAGAGAGAAGGGGAGAGCGCGCGCGCGCGCGCGCCUCCCCCGCCCUCCUCGGCCGGGCUCGCUCCCGCACAAGUCCGCGCGUGCGUGUCCGGGGACAGCGAAUUGGCGAGCUCGCCUGCGCCCCAGGAUCCGGCCUUGCUCUAGGUCUUGAAACUCCAAACCUUCUUCUCACCCAAUCCGCCCAAGUCCUAGGUUUUGCAAGAUUGAGCAGCUUGCAGACAGGUAUAAAGAAAAUCUGUGUUACUGUUCAAUUAAUUAAUUAGUAUGACUGUUUUCUGUAGGCUUAUAGAAAGUAGGGACACAAACUAGGUAGGUUGGUGUUACUUCUGCAGCACCUCAAGUGUCAUCUGAGAAACUCACCAAGUAUAUGCUCUGCUUGCACCCACACAUCAACAACAAAAAGAAAAGGCAGUGGCGGGUGUGCAAGGAAAA